AGAGUUUGAUCCUGGCUCAGGAUGAACGCUGGCGGCGUGCUUAACACAUGCAAGUCGAACGAACCUUCGGGUUAGUGGCGGACGGGUGAGUAACGCGUGAGAAUCUGCCCUCAGGAGGGGGAUAACGGCUGGAAACGGCCGCUAAUACCCCAUAUGCCGCGAGGUGAAAUGAAUUUCGCCUGAGGAUGAGCUCGCGUCUGAUUAGCUAGUUGGUGGGGUAAAGGCCUACCAAGGCAUCGAUCAGUAGCUGGUCUGAGAGGAUGAUCAGCCACACUGGGACUGAGACACGGCCCAGACUCCUACGGGAGGCAGCAGUGGGGAAUUUUCCGCAAUGGGCGAAAGCCUGACGGAGCAACGCCGCGUGAGGGAUGAAGGCCUCUGGGCUGUAAACCUCUUUUAUCAAGGAAGAAGAUCUGACGGUACUUGAUGAAUAAGCCACGGCUAAUUCCGUGCCAGCAGCCGCGGUAAUACGGGAGUGGCAAGCGUUAUCCGGAAUUAUUGGGCGUAAAGCGUCCGCAGGCGGCCCUACAAGUCUGCUGUUAAAAAGUGGAGCUUAACUCCAUCAUGGCAGUGGAAACUGUCGGGCUUGAGUGUGGUAGGGGCAGAGGGAAUUCCCGGUGUAGCGGUGAAAUGCGUAGAUAUCGGGAAGAACACCAGUGGCGAAGGCGCUCUGCUGGGCCAUCACUGACGCUCAUGGACGAAAGCCAGGGGAGCGAAAGGGAUUAGAUACCCCUGUAGUCCUGGCCGUAAACGAUGAACACUAGGUGUCGGGGGAAUCGACCCCCUCGGUGUCGUAGCCAACGCGUUAAGUGUUCCGCCUGGGGAGUACGCACGCAAGUGUGAAACUCAAAGGAAUUGACGGGGGCCCGCACAAGCGGUGGAGUAUGUGGUUUAAUUCGAUGCAACGCGAAGAACCUUACCAGGGUUUGACAUCCUGCGAAUCUCUUGGAAACAGGAGAGUGCCUUCGGGAACGCAGUGACAGGUGGUGCAUGGCUGUCGUCAGCUCGUGUCGUGAGAUGUUGGGUUAAGUCCCGCAACGAGCGCAACCCACGUCUUUAGUUGCCAGCAUUUAGUUGGGCACUCUAGAGAGACUGCCGGUGAUAAACCGGAGGAAGGUGUGGAUGACGUCAAGUCAUCGUGCCCCUUACAUCCUGGGCUACACACGUACUACAAUGCUACGGACAAAGGGCAGCAAGUUCGCGAGGACAAGCAAAUCCCAUAAACCGUGGCUCAGUUCAGAUCGUAGGCUGCAACUCGCCUACGUGAAGGAGGAAUCGCUAGUAAUCGCAGGUCAGCAUACUGCGGUGAAUACGUUCCCGGGCCUUGUACACACCGCCCGUCACACCAUGGAAGUUGGCCACGCCCGAAGCCGUUACUCCAACCCUUGUGGAGGAGGACGUCGAAGGUGGGGCUGAUGACUGGGGUGAAGUCGUAACAAGGUAACC
rnacentral:rRNA from 1 species